GUUUUCGCCAUUAAAACACAACGAGGACUACAGCGUUUCGGUAAUACAAGGCCGUGGUGGGCCGGGAUCCCCAGUCAGUCUGGAAACCCUCAGCUGUCUGUAGCAGACUGCCAGCAGACCGGUGCCGAGAUGGCUGAAGAUCUCCUCCGUCCUCUCACUGGCCACGAGAGAAGGCAGCACAAAAAGAAGAGCCUCGUUCAGACCCAACUCUUACUUCAUAGAUGUUAAAUGUCCACAUUGGGCUGCUACAAAAUCACUACUGUUCAGCCAUGAUCAGGCAUUGGUUCUGUGCGAGAUGCUCAUCUGUGCUGUCAGCCCAGAGGAGCAAAGGCAAGACUAACAGAAGGUUGCUCUUUCAAGAGAAAGGUACAUUGAGGAGUAUUAUUUUGCUUAUCAAGUCUUGUCUACCUCAAUUUUCCAAUGAUGCAAUGUACAGACAGCAUAAACAGUCUCUGUUGCUGUUCAAAUGCUGAACUUUUCCGAUAAAAUUUAUAAACUAGCAA